UAGGGUUCAUCAUCUUCUGGAAGCAGGCCAUCUGGAGGACAGACUGGCUGUUACUGUCCAGGAGGGGUUUCGGGUUACAGCCAAUAUGGUGGAAAUACAUAUGGUGGCAGACAAGGAUAUCCUUACGGAAGCAGUCAGUAUGGUAGUGGACGAUAUGAUGGCAGCCAAUAUGGGGGACAUGUAAGGACUGU